rnacentral:lncRNA from 1 species
CAACAAUGAAGAACACAACGGUUGAAUCAAGUGGCUAAUGAUAGGUAUAUAAUACACCCCUUGAACAUCUAAAAAGACAUUCUGGUUGAGCUGGAGUUUUGGCUGCUCGGUCAUUGGCAUUUAAUUAGUAUUUACGAUAAAAUCCGGUUAUAAAUGUACGGUUUUUCGACGUGAUGGGUUAGUGUUCAGGUGGGAUGGCGACCCCAUUAUUAUUUGCAUGAUGCAAAAGACAGACGGACGUCUAUUGCUCAAAUAAUUUUAUAUUGCUCAUGAUAAAAACAUGCAGGUAAAGAUCUAUAUUAACGCG